rnacentral:rRNA from 1 species
CAGGAUGAACGCUGGCGGCGUGCCUAAUACAUGCAAGUCGAACGAGGUGCUUUUGUAGCAAUACGAGAGUAUCCUAGUGGCGAACGGGUGAGUAACGCGUUGGUGACCUACCCCAAAGUGUGGGAUAACAGUCCGAAAGGAUUGCUAAUACCGCAUGUGGUUAUUGGAUUUAGAAACUGAUAACUAAAGGAGCAAUUCGCUUUGGGAGGGACCUGCGUCCCAUCAGCUAGUUGGUGAGGUAACGGCUCACCAAGGCUACGACGGGUAGGGGACCUGAGAGGGUGGCCCCCCACAAUGGAACUGAAACACGGUCCAUACACCUACGGGUGGCAGCAGUAGGGAAUAUUGCACAAUGGGCGAAAGCCUGAUGCAGCAACGCCGCGUGUGCGAUGAAGGCCUUCGGGUCGUAAAGCACUUUUCUGAGAGAUGAGAAAGGACAGUAUCUCAGGAAUAAGUCUCGGCUAACUACGUGCCAGCAGCCGCGGUAACACGUAGGAGGCGAGCGUUAUCCGGAUUCACUGGGCGUAAAGCGCGUGCAGGCGGUUUGGUAAGUUGAUCGUGAAAGCUCCCGGCUCAACUGGGAGAGGUCGGUCAAUACUACCAAACUAGAGAGUAGAAGAGGAAGAUGGAAUUCCCGGUGUAGUGGUGAAAUGCGUAGAUAUCGGGAGGAACACCAGUGGCGAAGGCGAUCUUCUGGUCUAUUUCUGACGCUCAGACGCGACAGCUAGGGUAGUAAACGGGAUUAGAGACCCCGGUAAUCCUAGCCGUAAACGAUGUGAACUUGGCGUCGGUGGCUUAAACACCAUCGGUGCCGAAGCAAACGCGAUAAGUUCACCGCCUGGGGACUACGGCCGCAAGGUUAAAACUCAAAG